AACGAACGCUGGCGGCAGGCUUAACACAUGCAAGUCGAGCGCCCCGCAAGGGGAGCGGCAGACGGGUGAGUAACGCGUGGGAACGUACCCUUUGCUACGGAAUAGCUCCGGGAAGCUGGAAUUAAUACCUUAUACGCCCUUUUGGGGAAAGAUUUAUCGGGGUUUGAUGAGCCCGCGUUGGAUUAGCUAGUUGGUGGGGUAAAGGCCUACCAAGGCGACGAUCCAUAGCUGGUCUGAGAGGAUGAUCAGCCACAUUGGGACUGAGACACGGCCCAAACUCCUACGGGAGGCAGCAGUGGGGAAUAUUAGACAAUGGGCGCAAGCCUGAUCCAGCCAUGCCGCGUGAGUGAUGAAGGCCUUAGGGUUGUAAAGUUCUUUCACCGGUGAAGAUAAUGACGGUAACCGGAGAAGAAGCCCCGGCUAACUUCGUGCCAGCCGCCGCCGUAACAC
rnacentral:rRNA from 1 species